GGCCGCCUGGCGAAAUGGCAUCGCGUCUGACUACGAUCUUCCAUAAUGCUGGUACGAAAUUGUAAUCAGGAGAUUGCAGGUUCGACCCCUGCGGUGGUCA